GCUAAAUCCGGGGUAUGCUAGUGUAGCACUACAUAAUAUAGUAUGUGUGUGUGUGUGUGUGUGUGUGUGUGCGGGGCAUGGCAACAGCAGACUGCUGUUUUCGAGUGGCUCUUUCUAGUGCGUUUGCAUUGAUAAGCGAUUGUUGUUAUUUUGACACCCCACCCAACUGAUAUUUGCCACUUUCGCGCUGUUAAUUUAAUUAUUUUGUUUAUGAUUUUAUGCGAUACGAAUACGUAUACGAGCGGAGCGAAAAUAGAAACCAGUUCAUGGACAGCUGAGGCAACAGCAGUUGUCUCUCCCAGCAGCUGGGUAAAUUCUGGAUGUGUCUAUAGCUGCAAUUGGAGAGUCCACCAUUGGGCCUGGGCCUCCACCACCGUCUCCAUCUCCACACGCGUCCUCCAACGCCUGCUGACCACAUGUCUUUUAUAAAUCGGUGACGGAAAAUUAGUAUGCCAAUCCGGCCCCCUCUCACCAUCCAGAUGGGUCCCGGUGCCGGCCUCCACAAUUGGCCAUGGCCGCUUUGGAGGCCAGCAUUCAUGUGACUCUGGUGGCGCACCAAGAAUAGAAGCAUUGGUUGUCAUGUGGCCUCUCUUGUGUUUUUGUCACUGGGGAAGGAGAAAUGAAGGUGCUGCUGGUGGGGUGACUUUGCCAUCCCACCCCCUCAUUCCAGUUACCAAGAAGCCCCAGAAUCCUCUGGCCACUCACAGAAAAACUUCACCAUUCGCGGUAAGUUGGGCCUGAUAAUCUUCAUCAUCGACGCUAAUUGCUGGACCCAGACUUGGACUCUAACUGCUUGGCUCCUGUUCUCACCUCUUGCUAAAUUUGUUGGCGCAUUUCGAUGAGUCGGGCUUAUACGGAAUUUACGUCAAUAGACGAUCGAUCCGCUGAAUAUAUGCAUAAUCAAUAUGCGAUCUGCUUGGGCAUCGAUGUGGAGCAGUCGGGUGGGUUAUCAGCGGACGAGCCUCUGAGCUCGACUAAAUAUAGAUCAGACCCGGAUCUUACUGUUGACCAGGAAAAUUUUCCAAGGGAAAUCAUCACCCACAAUUAUGGAUUUCAGAAGGGGCCUUUGUUUUAAGUGGCUUAACUUCUUAGCCUUUUGUUUGUUGGCCUUUUGAAUUCUUGGCUCUUUGGUUUCUUAUCACUUUGCACCCCAGAGUGUACAUCACACCACACACGCUUCCAGUUUUGCAAUCAGGCCUUGGCAACCCACCCCGCCCAAAAACCAAAAAAAAAAAAAAAAGAAAAAAAAACACAAUUCUUUUAUAAAGUUUUUUGGCUUCUUGUGGGAUUUUAUUUGCUUGUUUUUCAUCGCCCCGAUCUGUUGAUAAGUUAGGUUAAACGGCAUUAUGGAUUUAUACGCUUGUUUACGCCAAUUGCGGACGGGCCUCCGCCCCGGCGACCACUGAUAAGCUGCGUCCAGGCCACGCCCCAAUCCCGAUUCGCAUUCCGAUUCCCAUUCCCAUUCCCAUUCCCAGUCCCAAAUAACAAACCAGCCAAAUUUCGCUAUAAAAAUCUCA